rnacentral:rRNA from 1 species
CACGGAGUUAGCCGGAGCUUAUUCUCCCGGUACUGUCAUUAUCAUACCCGGGUAAAAGAGCUUUACAACCCUAAGGCCUUCAUCACUCACGCGGCAUUGCUGGAUCAGGCUUGCGCCCAUUGUCCAAUAUUCCCUACUGCUGCCUCCCGUAGGAGUCUGGGCCGUGUCUCAGUCCCAGCGUGGCUGAUCAUCCUCUCAGACCAGCUAAGGAUCGUCGCCUUGGUGGGCCUUUACCCCACCAACUAGCUAAUCCUACGCGGGCUCAUCCUUGGGCGAUAAAUCUUUGGACUUACGUCAUCAUCCGGUAUUAGCUUCCGUUUCCAGAAGUUAUUCCGAACCCAAGGGCAGAUUCCCACGCGUUACGCACCCGUGCGCCACUAGAUCCGAAGAUCUCGUUCGACUUGCAUGUAUUAGGCAUGCCGCCAGCGUUCGUUCUGUAGCCAGGAUCAAACUC